GUCUACAACCAUACCACCCUGAACACACCCAAUCUCGUUUGAUCUCAGAAGCUAAGCAGGGUUGCCUGGUUAGUAUUUGGAUGGGAGAGUACUAAAAGAGCGCCUGGAAGAGGCUGGCAAGACU
rnacentral:rRNA from 1 species